GACGAACGCUGGCGGCAGGCUUAACACAUGCAAGUCGAGCGCCCCGCAAGGGGAGCGGCAGACGGGUGAGUAACGCGUGGGAAUCUACCCAUCUCUACGGAAUAACGCAUGGAAACGUGUGCUAAUACCGUAUACGUCCUUCGGGAGAAAGAUUUAUCGGAGAUGGAUGAGCCCGCGUUGGAUUAGCUAGUUGGUGGGGUAAAGGCCUACCAAGGCGACGAUCCAUAGCUGGUCUGAGAGGAUGAUCAGCCACACGGGGACUGAGACGCGGCCCAGACUCCUACGGGAGGCAGCAGUGGGGAAUAUUGGACAAUGGGCGCAUGCUUGAUCCAGCCAUGCCGCGUGAGUGAUGAAGGCCCUAGGGUUGUAAAGCUCUUUCACCGGUGAAGAUAAUGACGGUAACCGGAGAAGAAGCCCCGGCUAACUUCGUGCCAGCAGCCGCCGUAAUAC
rnacentral:rRNA from 1 species